rnacentral:lncRNA from 1 species
AGACAGGCAGUAUGUAUAUGAAAUAAAUUCCUCUAUUCAAGCUAACAAAAAAUAUCUCAUCUACAUUUUGUUUAUCCAUGGAAAGAAACUGAGCAUGUCCUCUGCAGUUUUACUACAGGUCAUCUGAAGGGCAGCCCAUGGAUUCCUCUGAUCCAUGCAGACUUCCCAAGGGCCAAAGAACAAGGCCCGUUUGAUCCAGCACCUGCUGUGAGCCCAUCACUUGGAUACUUUUGCUGCAAAUUUUUACCAGACUGAACAGAGUAAUAUGUAAAGGGGGAAAAAAGCUCAAAGAGCAACAGGAAAAUCAGCAGGAAAUCAACAAAAAAUAUUAUUAAGAGCACUGAUCAAUCAUCUCAGCAUUAUUUUGCCCAAUAUGGUUGCACUUGCAAUAGACCAGCAAUUGGCUCCAGGACUGAAUCCUGGCAUCAGAGAAGACCCCAGGAUCCCAUGACCACAAUAAAUGUGCUGAUCUUCCUCAGCACUCAAACUGGCCUUCCUCAUUCCUUUCACUAAUUCAUCAUUCCUUUCAUUUUAUAAAUCAGAAGAAAGUUUCAAACCUCGAUGCCACAAAGGAAUGGUCUGUGAGUUUUUGCCUCAACAGAAUUUAGAAGUUCUAUUGUCAGAACUGUGCAUUCAACAAAGGACUAAUAUACAGAACCUACAAGGAACUCAAACAACUUAACAAAUAAAAGCAACUAACCACUUUAAAAAGUGGGAAAAGAACAUGAACAGUCAUUUCUCAAAAGAAAACAUACUAGCAGCCAGCAAACAUGUAAACAACUACCCAUCACUUAUUAUUAGAGAAAUGCAAAUUAAAACUACAAUGAGAUACCAUCUCACACUAGUCAGAAUAAUUACUACUAAAAAGUCAAAAAACAACAGAUGUUGGUAAGGAUGCAGAGAAAACGCUUAUACACUGUUGAUGAGAAUGUAAAUUAGCACAACAUUUAUGGAAAACAGUAUGGAGACUUCUCACAAAACUAAAAAUAAAACUACCAUUUGACCCAGCAACCCCACUACCAGGUACCUAGCCAAAGAAAAAGAAAUCGUUAAAUCAAAAAGACAUCUGCACUCGUAUAUUCAUAGCAGCACUAUUCACAAUACAAAGGUCAUGGAAUUAACCUAAGUGUCCAUCAGUGGAUGACUGGAUAAAGUGUAUGUGGUAUGUAUACAGCAUGGAAUACUAUGCAGCCAUGAAAAAGAAUUAAAUUAGUUUUUUGCAGCAACAUGGAUGGAGCUGAAGGUCAUUUUCCUAUGUGAAACAACUCAGAAACAGAAAAUCUAAUACUGCAUGUUCUCACUUAAAAGUGGGGACUAAAUAGUGGGUACAUAUGGAUGUAUAAAGGGAAAUAAUAGACACUGGUGACUCCUAAAGCAGGGAGGAUGAGAGGAGGUAAGGGCUGAAAAAUUACCUAUUGAGUACAAUGUUCACUAAUUGAGUGAUGGGUACAAUGGAAGCCUAAACCCCACCACUGCGAUAUAUCCAUGUAACAAACCUGCACAUACCACCUGAAUCUACAAAGAUUCUAAAAAAUUUAAAAAUAAGUUAUGUUAUUAAAUGAACUCACAUUUAAUACUGCUAUAGCUUGUUCAACUGACAUUUCUAUCAUUAUGUAAUGCCUCUCUUUAUUGCUGGUAAUUUCUUUGCCCUGAUAUUACUUUAUCUGAUAUUAAAUUACUCAGCUAUCUUUUGAUAAAUGUUUGAAUAGUAUAUCUUUUCUCUUUUCUUUUACUUUUACUCAACCUAUAUUAUCACAUUUAAUUGUCAACCCAGAGUCUUAUAGAGUAAUAUUCAAAAUGUUCUGUAUACAAUCCAAAAUUAUUCACCAUGUGAAAAACCAGAAAUAUCUCAACUCAAAAAGAGAAAUACAUUACCUGAAGUGAUAAACAACCCAAUUUUCCUGAUUUUAUCAUCAUACAUCGUAUACUUGUGUCACAUGUACCCAAUUAAUACUUAUAAAUGUUAUGUACCCAUAAAAAUUAAAAAGAAAAAAGAAAAAGACAAUCAACAGAUGCUGACUCUGUGAUGUCGUCAUUAAAUUUGGGCUUCUGCCA